CGGCCGCGUCGACGGCAGAGGGAAUUCCUGGUGUAGCGGUGAAAUGCGUAGAGAUCAGGAAGAACAUCGGUGGCGAAGGCGCUCUGCUGGACCAUAACUGACACUCAGGGACGAAAGCUUAGGGGAGCGUAAUGGGGAUUAGAUACCCCCAGUAGUCCUAGCCGUUAAACGAUGGAUACUAGGUGUUGUCUGUAUCGACCCGGACAGUGCCGGUAGCUAACGCGUUAAGUAUCCCGCCUGGGGACGUACGCACGGUCAAGUCGUGAAACUCAAAGGAAUUGACGGGGGCCCGCACAAGCGGUGGAGUAUGUAGGUUUAAUUCGAUGCAACGCGAAGAACCCUUACCAGGACUUGACAUGUCGCGAAUCCAGUGGAAACACAGGAGUGCCUUCGGGAGCGCGAACCACGAGGUGGUGCAUGGCUGUCGCCAGCUCGUGUCGUGAGUAUGUUGGGUUAAGUCCCGNAACGUAGCGUCAACCCUGUGUUUACGUGCCCAUUCGAUUAACGGUUCGGGCAACUUCUAAACAGGUACUGCCGGUGACAAACCGGCGGAAGGUGGGGUA
rnacentral:rRNA from 1 species